rnacentral:rRNA from 1 species
UGGGGAAUUUUGGACAAUGGGCGCAAGCCUGAUCCAGCAAUGCCGCGUGCAGGACGAAGGCCUUCGGGUUGUAAACUGCUUUUGUACGGAGCGAAACGGCACUCUCUAAUACGGAGUGCUAAUGACGGUACCGUAAGAAUAAGCACCGGCUAACUACGUGCCAGCAGCCGCGGUAAUACGUAGGGUGCGAGCGUUAAUCGGAAUUACUGGGCGUAAAGCGUGCGCAGGCGGUUUUGUAAGACAGGUGUGAAAACCCCGGGCUCAACCUGGGAACUGCACUUGUGACUGCAAGGCUAGAGUACGGCAGAGGGGGAUGGAAUUCCGCGUGUAGCAGUGAAAUGCGUAGAUAUGCGGAGGAACACCGAUGGCGAAGGCAAUCCCCUGGGCCUGUACUGACGCUCAUGCACGAAAGCGUGGGGAGCAAACA